rnacentral:rRNA from 1 species
CACCGCCUGGGGAGUACGACCGGCAAGGUUAAAACUCAAAUGAAUUGACGGGGACCCGCACAAGUAGUGGAGCAUGUGGUUUAAUUUCGAAGAUACGCGCAGAACCUUACCAACACUUGACAUGUUCGUCGCGACUCUAAGAGAUUAGAGUUUUCGGUUCGGCCGGACGAAACACAGGUGCUGCAUGGCUGUCGUCAGCUCGUGUCGUGAGAUGUUGGGUUAAGUCCCGCAACGAGCGCAACCCUCACUUUUAGUUGCCAUCAUUAAGUUGGGCACUCUGAAAGAACUGCCAGUGAUAAGCUGGAGGAAGGUGGGGAUGACGUCAAGUCCUCAUGGCCCUUACGUGUUGGGCUACACACGUGCUACAAUGGCAUCUACAACAGGAAGCAAAACGGCAACGUUAAGCAAAUCCCGAAAAGAUGCCUCAGUUCGGAUUGCACUCUGCAACUCGAGUGCAUGAAGCUGGAAUUACUAGUAAUCGUGGAUCAGCGUGCCACGGUGAAUGCGUUCCCGGGUCUUGUACACACCGCCCGUCACACCAUGGGAGUUGGUUCUACCUUAAGGCAAGGUUUCAAACCCUUGACCACGGUAUAGUCAGCGACUGGGGUGAAGUCGUAACAAGGUACC